AACGAACGCUGGCGGCAUGCCUAACACAUGCAAGUCGAACGAGACCUUCGGGUCUAGUGGCGCACGGGUGCGUAACGCGUGGGAACCUGCCCUUAGGUUCGGAAUAACUCCCCGAAAGGGGUGCUAAUACCGGAUAAUGUCUUCGGACCAAAGAUUUAUCGCCUUGGGAUGGGCCCGCGUUGGAUUAGCUAGUUGGUAGGGUAAAAGCCUACCAAGGCGACGAUCCAUAGCUGGUCUGAGAGGAUGAUCAGCCACACUGGGACUGAGACACGGCCCAGACUCUUACGGGAGGCAGCAGUGGGGAAUAUUGGACAAUGGGCGAAAGCCUGAUCCAGCAAUGCCGCGUGAGUGACGAAGGCCUUAGGGUUGUAAAGCUCUUUUACCCGGGAUGAUAAUGACAGUACCGGGAGAAUAAGCUCCGGCUAACUCCGUG
rnacentral:rRNA from 1 species